rnacentral:rRNA from 1 species
GACGAACGCUGGCGGCGUGCUUAACACAUGCAAGUCGAACGAUGAAGCCGGAGCUUGCUCUGGUGAAUUAGUGGCGAACGGGUGAGUAACACGUGAGUAACCUGCCCUUGACUCUGGGAUAACUGCUAGAAAUGGUAGCUAAUACCGGAUACGACCCUCGGAGGCAUCUCCAGGGGGUGGAAAGAAUUUCGGUCAGGGAUGGACUCGCGGCCUAUCAGCUAGUUGGUGAGGUAACGGCUCACCAAGGCGACGACGGGUAGCCGGCCUGAGAGGGUGACCGGCCACACUGGGACUGAGACACGGCCCGGACUCCUACGGGAGGCAGCAGUGGGGAAUAUUGCACAAUGGGCGCAAGCCUGAUGCAGCAACGCCGCGUGAGGGAUGACGGCCUUCGGGUUGUAAACCUCUUUUAGUAGGGAAGAAGCGAAAGUGACGGUACCUGCAGAAAAAGCACCGGCUAACUACGUGCCAGCAGCCGCCGUAA